rnacentral:rRNA from 1 species
AUGCACGCUGGCGGCGUGCCUCAUACAUGCAAGUCGCGCGCACAGACGAGGAGCUUGCUCCUCUGACGUUAGCGGCGGCCGGGUGAGUAACACGUGGAUAACCUACCUAUAAGACUGGGAUAACUUCGGGAAACCGGAGCUAAUACCGGAUAAUAUAUUGAACCGCAUGGUUCAAUAGUGAAAGACGGUUUUGCUGUCACUUAUAGAUGGGUCCGCGCCGCAUUAGCUAGUUGGUAAGGUAACGGCUUACCAAGGCGACGAUGCGUAGCCGACCUGAGAGGGUGAUCGGCCACACUGGAACUGAGACACGGUCCAGACUCCUACGGGAGGCAGCAGUAGGGAAUCUUCCGCAAUGGGCGAAAGCCUGACGGAGCAACGCCGCGUGAGUGAUGAAGGUCUUCGGAUCGUAAAACUCUGUUAUUAGGGAAGAACAAAUGUGUAAGUAACUAUGCACGUCUUGACGGUACCUAAUCAGAAAGCCACGGCUAACUACGUG